UCUUGGUCUUGAUGCUUGGGGCCUCCAGGAUGCCUACAGUAUAGAAGAGACUCGUUCUGAAAUCCCUCCAACUCCUUGAGCCAUUGAUUUCUCAUUGACCAAGCAUGAUGGAAAAAAGCAAGCACACAUGCUCAUAGGCAGAAGGGACUUGCCUUGUCUUGGAUGAGACUUGAGACUGUGGACUUUUGAGUUAAUGCUGAAGACGGGACUUGCUCCUCUCUGCCUUCUGCCAUGAUUGUGAGGCCUUCCCAGCCAAGUAGAACUGCUAUUUGCUUUUGAGCUACUCCGGGAGAGGAGCAAAGAGUCGGUUUGAGUUGCAUGACUGACAUCUUCUGGCUACAGUGGAUAUUACAGAAAGACUGAAACUCCGCAAAGGACUCUAGACAUGUGACCUGGAGAUGCAGCAUCCAUCUUGUGACCAUGAAGCAAUAGGGAUAAGGGUAAAAGUCUACACAUUGCAGAUUGCAGAUAAAAACAUGAAAA
rnacentral:antisense_RNA from 1 species